rnacentral:misc_RNA from 1 species
CUGAGGCCGACGCGCGGAAGCGCAGGAAGGGCCCGAUGUACAAGCUCAAGGCGGCGAUCCAGGGCCUCGCGGGAUCUCGCUCCGCCGCCGCGGAGGUGUAUGGGGGAGAGUACCAGUUCCAGCGCGCCGUCGAGAAUUUGUGCGAGCCAAGGUUCCCCAAUCCACUCACGCGCGCGCAUCGCUGUGGUUUCCUGUUUUGCUUUCCACCCUCGCGCGCUCUUCUUCUUCAUGGAGCCAUGGCAGGAAGCGGCAACAGGAGAUUUGGCCGGGAUAUGGUGUCUAGCAGCACACAUUUCUCCCAAUGGCAGAUGGUCUGGGUUGGAGACCACGUUCCUGGCGGCAGAGUCGAUCUGCAAUGUGGAGGUCCAAUCUGGCCACCGAUGUCAGCUCGCUCCGGAGCCAAUUCCGAUUCCCUAGCAGGGACGACGUUCAGAUGCAGCUUCAGAUGCAGCGACGACCUCUCUCUCCAUCCAUGGAUCUCUAGGCAACUGCGAACAAGGGAACCAGGCAUCAAAAUGAAGGGAACCAGGAAUCGAAACGGCCCCGAGAAUCCCAAAGCACGAGAAGGGGAACAAGGGAA